CCUACGGGAGUCAGCAGUGGGGAAUUUUGGACAAUGGACGCAAGUCUGAUCCAGCCAUGCCGCGUGCGGGAAGAAGGCCUUCGGGUUGUAAACCGCUUUGUCAGGGAAGAAAAGUUUGGGGCUAAUAACUCCGGACGAUGACGGUACCUGAAGAAUAAGCACCGGCUAACUACGUGCCAGCAGCCGCGGUAAUACGUAGGGUGCAAGCGUUAAUCGGAAUUACUGGGCGUAAAGCGUGCGCAGGCGGUUCUAUAAGACAGAUGUGAAAUCCCCGGGCUCAACCUGGGAACUGCAUUUGUGACUGUAGAGCUGGAGUACGGCAGAGGGGGAGUGGAAUUCCGCGUGUAGCAGUGAAAUGCGUAGAUAUGCGGAGGAACACCGAUGGCGAAGGCAAUCCCCUGGGCCUGUACUGACGCUCAUGCACGAAAGCGUGGGGAGCAAACAGGAUUAGAUACCCUGGUAGUCCACGCCCUAAACGAUGUCAACUGGUUGUUGGGAAGGUUCCUUCUCAGUAACGUAGCUAACGCGUGAAGUUGACCGCCUGGGGGNGGACGGCCGGCGAGGUAAGGUAAAGUUAAAAUUAAGUUAAGUAGUUAGGCGUGAGAGNGCGACGGACGACGACGAGGGAGGAGG
rnacentral:rRNA from 1 species